rnacentral:rRNA from 1 species
CUUGCUUCUUAAGUUAGUGGCGCACGGGUGAGUAAUAUAUAGCUAACCUGCCCUUUAGUGGGGGACAACAGUUGGAAACGACUGCUAAUACCCUAUACUCCUUCUUACUAUAAGGUAAGUUGGGAAAGAUUUAUCGCUAAAGGAUGGGGCUUUAUUGUAUCAGCUAGUUGGUGGGGUAAUGGCCUACCAAGGCUAUGACGCAUACCUGGUCUGAGAGGAUGAUCAGGCACACUGGAACUGAGACACGGUCCAGACUCCUACGGGAGGCAGCAGUGGGGAAUAUUACACAAUGGAGGAAACUCUGAUGCAGCAACGCCGCGUGGAGGAUGACGCAUUUCGGUGUGUAAACUCCUUUUAUAGGGGAAGAUAAUGACGGUACCCUAUGAAUAAGCACCGGCUAACUCCGUGCCAGCAGCCGCGGUAAUACGGAGGGUGCAAGCGUUACUCGGAAUCACUGGGCGUAAAGGAUGCGUAGGCUGGAAAUCAAGUCGAGAGUGAAAUCCAACGGCUCAACCGUUGAACUGCUCUCGAAACUGGUUACCUAGAAUAUGGGAGAGGUAGAUGGAAUUAGUGGUGUAGGGGUAAAAUCCGUAGAUAUCACUAGGAAUACCGAUUGCGAAGGCGAUCUACUGGAACAUUA